CAUGGACAUAUAUGCUAUGAUGAAGUAGCCCGUACAGAGCCACUAUGGCAACACAAAUAAUUGAGAUCACUAAAUAAACAUGGUCUCCCUUCACCGGCCACAAUGAUCACACUAGAGAUUAGAGAAGGCAACCUUAACCGACUUUACAAAUGUCACACACUCAUAUGCUUUCUCUAGCUGGUACACAAUCCCAUAUGUAAAAGACAAUACUGCCCCUAGCCUUGGACCUCU
rnacentral:lncRNA from 1 species